rnacentral:rRNA from 1 species
CCUGGCUCAGGAUGAACGCUAGCUACAGGCUUAACACAUGCAGGUCGAGGGGCAGCAUGGUCUUAGCUUGCUAAGGCCGAUGGCGACCGGCGCACGGGUGAGUAACACGUAUCCAACCUGCCGUCUACUCUUGGACAGCCUUCUGAAAGGAAGAUUAAUACAAGAUGGCAUCAUGAGUCCGCAUGUUCACAUGAUUAAAGGUAUUCCGGUAGACGAUGGGGAUGCGUUCCAUUAGAUAGUAGGCGGGGUAACGGCCCACCUAGUCUUCGAUGGAUAGGGGUUCUGAGAGGAAGGUCCCCCACAUUGGAACUGAGACACGGUCCAAACUCCUACGGGAGGCAGCAGUGAGGAAUAUUGGUCAAUGGGCGAGAGCCUGAACCAGCCAAGUAGCGUGAAGGAUGACUGCCCUAUGGGUUGUAAACUUCUUUUAUAAAGGAAUAAAGUCGGGUAUGGAUACCCGUUUGCAUGUACUUUAUGAAUAAGGAUCGGCUAACUCCGUGCCAGCAGCCGCGGUAAUACGGAGGAUCCGAGCGUUAUCCGGAUUUAUUGGGUUUAAAGGGAGCGUAGAUGGAUGUUUAAGUCAGUUGUGAAAGUUUGCGGCUCAACCGUAAAAUUGCAGUUGAUACUGGAUAUCUUGAGUGCAGUUGAGGCAGGCGGAAUUCGUGGUGUAGCGGUGAAAUGCUUAGAUACCACGAAGAACUCCGAUUGCGAAGGCAGCCUGCUAAGCUGCAACUGACAUUGAGGCUCGAAAGUGUGGGUAUCAAACAGGAUUAGAUACCCUGGUAGUCCACACGGUAAACGAUGAAUACUCGCUGUUUGCGAUAUACUGCAAGCGGCCAAGCGAAAGCGUUAAGUAUUCCACCUGGGGAGUACGCCGGCAACGGUGAAACUCAAAGGAAUUGACGGGGGCCCGCACAAGCGGAGGAACAUGUGGUUUAAUUCGAUGAUACGCGAGGAACCUUACCCGGGCUUAAAUUGCAGAUGAAUUACGGUGAAAGCCGUAAGCCGCAAGGCAUCUGUGAAGGUGCUGCAUGGUUGUCGUCAGCUCGUGCCGUGAGGUGUCGGCUUAAGUGCCAUAACGAGCGCAACCCUUGUUGUCAGUUACUAACAGGUUCCGCUGAGGACUCUGACAAGACUGCCAUCGUAAGAUGUGAGGAAGGUGGGGAUGACGUCAAAUCAGCACGGCCCUUACGUCCGGGGCUACACACGUGUUACAAUGGGGGGUACAGAGGGCCGCUACCACGCGAGUGGAUGCCAAUCCCCAAAACCUCUCUCAGUUCGGACUGGAGUCUGCAACCCGACUCCACGAAGCUGGAUUCGCUAGUAAUCGCGCAUCAGCCACGGCGCGGUGAAUACGUUCCCGGGCCUUGUACACACCGCC